rnacentral:rRNA from 1 species
AUUGAACGCUGGCGGCAGGCCUAACACAUGCAAGUCGAACGAGUGGCGGACGGGUGAGUAAUGUCUGGGAAACUGCCUGAUGGAGGGGGAUAACUACUGGAAACGGUAGCUAAUACCGCAUACCAUCAGAUGUGCCCAGAGGGGAGUAGCUAGGUGGUUGUGUAACGGCUCACCAAGGCGACGAUCCCUAGCUGGUCUGAGAGGAUGACCAGCCCCCCUGGAACUGUGACACGGUCCAGCCUCCUCCGGGAGGCAGCAGUGGGGAAUAUUGCACACUGGGCGCAAGCCUGAUGCAGCCAUGCCGCGUGUAUGAAGAAGGCCUUCGGGUUGUAACGUACUUUCAGCGGGGAGGCGUUACCCGCAGAAGAAGCACCGGCUAACUCCGUGCCAGCAGCCGCGGUAAUUC